rnacentral:rRNA from 1 species
CCUACGGGACGCAGCAGUCGAGAAUCAUUCACAAUGGGGGAAACCCUGAUGGUGCGACGCCGCGUGGGGGAAUGAAGGUCUUCGGAUUGUAAACCCCUGUCAUGUGGGAGCAAAUUAAAAAGAUAGUACCACAAGAGGAAGAGACGGCUAACUCUGUGCCAGCAACCGCGGUAAUACAGAGGUCUCAAGCGUUGUUCGGAAUCACUGGGCGUAAAGCGUGCGUAGGCUGUUUCGUACGUCGUGUGUGACAGGCGCGGGCUCAACUUUCGGACGGCACCUGAUACUGCGAGACUAGAGUAAUGGUG